GUUAAAAUAGACUCCACAGAACUUCUAAUAAACCAGUAUAUUCAAUUAAGAUACUAGAAGCAUCUACCCAUAAACCCUAAUUUUGACUAUGUGAGUUCUGUCCCAGGAUUUUUAUAUUUUUCGAAGACAACUGAUAGUGCCAAGCCAUUUUGUCACUUUAAGAUUUUCUAUUCCCCAGAGAGCAAGCUUUUAGAAUGAUGACACUUUCCUGGAACUUUUCAAGCUGACACAUUUGUCACUCUCCUAUUCAACUCUUAACUUGGUUAUCUUUUCCUCAGGAGUUGAGAUAUAUAGAUAAUUUAGCCUUUAUACCAGCUUGUAAUUACUUCAUUUGAGAAGCAGAAGGAGAAAAGAAAGGGAAGGAAACCAAAGAGAACACUCCUGAGUUUGGGGGGUAACAACUGCUUAUUCUCUUGCAUAGAUGUGUAUUAUUGCCCUGAUCAUUCCUAGUUCAAGCCCACAAAACAAUGAAAUAGCCAUUAUAGGAAUCAUGCCGAUAAACAUGAUACAUUGCAGCCAUACAGACACUUUAAAUAAUUAUUCUUUUUAUAACUAAGCCAUAUACUGAAGGAGAUUUAUAAUUUAGAGAUAAUAUCCCCAUUAGUAAAGUUUAUGACCCAAUAAACAGCUCCCACUAGUUAAUAAAUGCCAAAGCCAUAAAAACAAAGACUAUUAAUGUAAUAGAAUUUCUGUACCUCCCUCUCUUGCUGGUGGUCUGAAGAUACUGAAGGGACAUGCUAUCUUAGGAAAAACAUUUAUUCUCCUUAUGUAAAUAUCAAUGAAUUGUCUUAUAAUCCAUCUGGAAAGCUCCCAGCCCCACUUGGUUCCAGGUGGUCC
rnacentral:lncRNA from 1 species